ensembl:lncRNA
GGGGUGGCCAGUCCUCUUCUGGCUGUGCCGGGUAGAGAGGAACCAGGCUAUGAGGGGUGGCCAGUCCUCUUCUGGCUGUGCCGGGUAGAGAGGAACCAGGCUAUGAGGGGUGGCCAGUCCUCUUCUGGCUGUGCCGGGUAGAGAGGAACCAGGCUCUGAGGGGUGGCCAGUCCUCUUCUGGCUGUACCAGGUAGAGAGGAACCAGGCUAUGAGGGGUGGCAAGUCCUCUUCUGGCUGUGCCGGGUGGAGAUUAUAAACCUGGCUAGGAACCAGGCUCUGAGGGGUGGACAGUCCUCUUCUGGCUGUACCAGGUAGAGAGGAACCAGGCUAUGAGGGGUGGCCAGUCCUCUUCUGGCUGUGCCGGGUAGAGGGGAACCAGGCAAUGAGGGGUGGCCAGUCCUCUUCUGGCUUAGCCGGGUGGAGAGGAACCAGGAUAUUAGGGGUGGCCAGUCCUCUUCUGGCUGUACUGGGUAGAGAGGAACUAGGCUAUGAGGGGUGGCCAGUCCUCUUCUGGCUGUGCCGGGUGGAGAGGAACCAGGCUCUGAGGGGUGGCCAGUCCUCUUCUGGCUGUACCAGGUAGAGAGGAACCAGGCUAUGAGGGGUGGCCAGUCCUCUUCUGUACCUGGUGGAGAGGAACCAGGGUAUGAGGGGUGGCCAGUCCUCUUCUGGCUGUACCAGGUGGAGAGGAACCAGGCUCUGAGGGGUGGCCAGUCCUCUUCUGUGCCGGGUGGAGAUUAUAACAGAACAUGGACGAG